GAGUACGCGUGGAUAACCUGCCUCACACUGGGGGAUAACAGUUAGAAAUGACUGCUAAUACCGCAUAAGCGCACAGUACCGCAUGGUACAGUGUGAAAAACUCCGGUGGUGUGAGAUGGAUCCGCGUCUGAUUAGCCAGUUGGCGGGGUAACGGCCCACCAAAGCGACGAUCAGUAGCCGACCUGAGAGGGUGACCGGCCACAUUGGGACUGAGACACGGCCCAA
rnacentral:rRNA from 1 species